ACUUUGCAUUGGCAGCACAUGCUUCAGUGAUCUGGGAGUGUUUAUAGUGCUGUGACUUUAACACUUCAUGACUGAGAGCUGCUGCUACAGCAACUUCACCCACAGCUACCAUGACUUUGAUCCCCGUCUUCAUCUGGACACUGAUCCUCUGGACUCAAGAAUGCAGAGGUCAAGUCACAGUAACUCAGACUCCUGCAGUGAAAUCUGUUCUUCCAGGAGAAACAGUCACCAUCAACUGUAAAACCAAUCCAGCAGUUUAUCAUCACAGCUCAAAUGGUGACAUCUUACACUGGUAUCAGCAGAAACCUGGAGAAGUUCCUAAACUCCUGAUUAAGCUCGUAAAUCAGAGACAGUCAGGUUUUCCAGCUCGUUUCAGUGGCAGUGGAUCUGGAUCUGAUUUCACUCUGACCAUCAGUGGAGUCCAGACUGAAGAUGCAGGAGAUUACUACUGUCAGAGUCACCAUUCCAUCACUGGCUACUGGUUCACACAGUGUUAUAGAGUCGUACAAAAACCUCCCUCAGUCAGAUUGUAGAGAGACUGAACUGCUGCAGCUGGGAGCGACUGCAGGUGCUGAGUUGGAGGAUGUGAUACGACACAAUGACACUCUGUGGAGGAGAAGAACCACAUCACACUGACUCACAACUCACAUUAGAC